rnacentral:rRNA from 1 species
GAUGAACGCUGGCGGCGUGCUUAACACAUGCAAGUCGAACGGAAAGGCUCCUGCUUGCAGGGGUACUCGAGUGGCGAACGGGUGAGUAACACGUGGGUGAUCUGCCCUGCACUUCGGGAUAAGCCUGGGAAACUGGGUCUAAUACCGGAUAGGACGAUGGUUUGGAUGCCAUUGUGGAAAGUUUUUUCGGUGUGGGAUGAGCUCGCGGCCUAUCAGCUUGUUGGUGGGGUAAUGGCCUACCAAGGCGUCGACGGGUAGCCGGCCUGAGAGGGUGUACGGCCACAUUGGGACUGAGAUACGGCCCAGACUCCUACGGGAGGCAGCAGUGGGGAAUAUUGCACAAUGGGCGGAAGCCUGAUGCAGCGACGCCGCGUGGGGGAUGACGGCCUUCGGGUUGUAAACCGCUUUCGCUAGGGACGAAGCGCAAGUGACGGUACCUGGAGAAGAAGCACCGGCUAACUACGUG